UGAAUUGAGCUCAAUUUCAUUAAUGAAUCUGAAACAAAUUACAAGAAUAGAGGUAAUGAAUUUAGCUAAGAAGGUGUAAGAUCUAAAGGAAAAUUUGGGAGGGAAAUUAUGAGGAUUGUUUCUCACGCUUUUACAACUAAUCUGGACAGAAAAUGAUUCAAAAGCUGAGCUCGAUUAAGCAGACAGGCCUGCUUAUAUAGUUAUUAGCUUCUAACAGACUUCUAACAGCACCUAAUAAGGAUCAAACACGUGUCCCAAUUGCAGCUGCAAGUUGCUGCAAGUUGCCGCGCUUCUUGGCUUUCUGUUAAAACAGAUAAAACCCAGCAAAGACGUGGUUUAGCUUAUGCGCCUUUGUUGAAGUGCUUCCUCUUGAUCACGCCUUCCGUUACUGGAUUCCACACCUUCUCCCUUCCUUCUUCCUAACAUGUAUCUUCUACUUUAGUCCAACUCCUGCAUUUCAUUACACCAUCCUCUGGAUUCCAUGCAUUUUUUCCCCUUAGCCUCGGGGAGGAACAACCUCCUGCAAAUCCUACCCUUUGCAAGGCUAUAAAAUUCUCUAUCGUCACCAUCUUUAUUUUCUGCAAGCAUAAUCCAGGGAGGUCCUCGCUAGCCGCCGCCCUCCACGAGUUGCAAACACCGCGGAACGCAAGAAAGUCUUCUAAAAGAUCUACACACUUGCUUAUUUGAGUCAACAAUUAUGGCAAAAGCUGUGACCAAUCUGCCAUGAUUUAUUCCAGUAUAGUAUACACCAGAAAACAAAAACUCCAACAAAUAACUAAGCUAAAUAAAUUAAUACAAAUCUGGCUGCUGACUAAAUAACAGAUCUACGCUUAC
rnacentral:lncRNA from 1 species